AUAUAUAUAUAUAUAUAUGCGUAUUCACUCUUUCAGAAUCUGAUCCAGUGGUUAUUCAAUUUUACCUUGCUUAAGGAGAACUGACUUCAGGAUUGUAUACAUAAUACCUUAUUUAAUGUUAAGUCUUUUUCCGAGAUAAUUUUUUGACUACACACAAUUUGCUUCUUGCACGUUAGCCUUAGAACAUCCCCACCCAUACUUUGGAUGGAGGGAAAAAAAAAAAAAACACCACCUCAUGGCAAUAGACUGCUGGGGGGCUUAAACAUAACAAAACAGUCAUAGAAAAUCAGCAAGGGAAAAAAUGAGAUGAAACUACAAAUUUCUCUGCCGGCCCCCUACCAUGAAUCCUCAAAUCCAUAGGAAAGGGAGUUAAGGAAAACAAAGAAAAUGUCCCAAGGGCCCAAGAUGUCUGAUGCUGGGAGCGGGGCUGCCCUUGCAACCCUUUCGCUAAAACAGUUCUGGCUUCUCCUUCCCGAGUGUCCUCCUUCUCCAGGCCGGGUCCCCACUCCCGACCCUUUCCCUGCACACUCUGGGCUCCAAAUGAGUAAUUCUGAGGUCACACUCUCCGGACAAAUGGCCGGGGCUCGCCAAGAGAAGCGCCCCCACCCAACUCGGCCGCCUGCCCCUGAAUCCCGGGAAUCCGAGUGGACUCAGCGUGACGAUCCCCGGCAGGGACCCCCGGGGCGUGCAGCUUGCAGCGGGGCUCGAGCCGGGCGGGGGGGCGGGCCGACUUCAAAGGCGGGCGGCGGGGCAGGCACUUCCGCGGCACCUGCAGCGGCGGCCGGUCCUCCUUCCGCGCGCCCGGGAUCCGCCCCCGCCAGGAGCGCCGCUUCCCCCCGCCCCGCCGCCGGGAGGCGGGGCCGCGCCCGUGAUUUAGGGCCGGGCGAUUCCGCUGGCGGCCGCCAAGGUGCCAAUUACUGCUCGGCCGGGCCUGGAUUUCAGAAAUUCCUGCUCUUCCCCUGGAAGUUCCGGCGUCGCUCCCCUGAGGGAAGACACAACUCCCACCUUGGAGAGAAAACCGGGAUCCUGGGACGGGCUGUGCGGAGAAACCGAGCCCAGGGGGGUCCCGGGAGCCCCGUCAUCCCCGGGGAGCUGGGCUCUAGAAAGGCCGGCAGCCUCCCUUCUCUCCCAGGCCGGGUCCCUCAGCGGUUCAACUUAGAGAUGAACUUGGCUUGA
rnacentral:lncRNA from 1 species